GUGAGAAGGUGAUGAACGAGGAGCAAGAUGAGCAAAGAUAUCGUGUAAGAAUACGAAUUUUUGAAUUCAUAUGAAGUUAAUAUGGCGUUCCCUGGAAGAUUAAUCUAAAAAGAAGCUUUAUGAGAUGAAGUGCACCGUUCAAGUAGAAAAUUUCCAGUGCCCAUGUUGUUUCUUAUUGUUAUCAAUGGAUCCAUACAACACUUGCUCAAGGCAAUCGAUUUGCCUGUAGUUGGCGGCGGCACAACAACGACACUGUAAAGAUUUAGAGGCAUCAAUUGUUCUGCUCUUACAACUAGACUUUUUCUGCCAACAAGAAACGCUGUCGUUGCUAUCAAGCAUGGCACAAAAUAGCCUUCACUUGAGCUACAUGAUUGUGCAACGUUUCUCACGUAAUCUUCUACUUCUUUACUAAUCAGAUUCGAAUAACAGAAUGGCAUUGAAAUAAGCCUUUAUGAAGCUCUGCCCAAGUACUUUCAUGUGGUCUGUUGAUCUUUUGAAGCUUCGACUGCGACAUAACUGAGGAACGGAACUUGGCGUUGAAAGAGAUAAAAUUAAGUAUUUCAGUGGCCGGGUAGUGUAAAGUUAUACCGAGAAAUUGUUUGUACUGUGUUAGGAAUUAUAAUUUACACAAAUUACGGUUACAUAAAUUAUAGUUUGCUCUUCGAUCUCAUGCUAACGACGUGUAGCUAGAGCACUAUUACUAUCAGUGAGACCUUACUUAGUUCCCUGGACUGUAUCUACAAUGCGCAAAACUCUGGGGAAAGAUUUCCAUGUGUUUUAGAUGACUGGAUUCUUUAAUCCUCAGGAAUACUUGACAACCAUGAGAAAGUAGUCUCUCGUGCGCACAAACACUGGGCACUAGACUGCGUAGUCCUACACAAUGACGUCACACGGUUCUCAAAGAUGAUAUCACAAGUCCCCCAACUGAAGGUGUCUACGUGCAUGGAUUGUGUCUAGAUGGAGCAGGAUCAGGGUUCGACGAAGCUGUAAGCUGAUAGAACCUGCAUUUAAAGUCCGCUUCUCCUCUAUACCUGUGGUUCAUAAUUAUGCGAACAACUCUACCGCGGUAAGGGACAAUCGAUUGUACCAUUGUCCUAUUUAUAAGAAGCAGCGACGC